CACCAAGAGCGAAACUCCAUCUCAAAAAAAAAAAAAAAAAAUCAAACAUAGAAUUACCCUGUGGUCCAGCAAUCCCACUUCUGGGCACAUAUGCAAAAUUAUUGACAGCAGGGUCUCAGAGAGAUCCUUACACCCCUGUCCAUAGCAGCCUCAUUCACAGCAGCCAGAAGGUGGAACAACCCAAGUGUCCAGCUACAGAUGAACGGACUUGUGAAUUACGGCAUAGACAUACAAAUGCUAUUCCAUCUCCAGAGAGGGUUGAAGUUCCGACACACGCCACACAAAAAUGAACCUCGAAGACAUGCUGAGUGAAACAGGUCAGACACAAAAGGACAAAUAUUGUAUGAUCCCACUUAGACGAGCGACCUAGAACAGGCAAAUUCAGAGACGCAAAGGAGUCUUUCUGCCCAUGUUCGCCUCAUCUAACCCCUGCCUGCAGGGUCUGGGGGAGGUCAGAACGGGCAGUUAGGGUUGAAAGUAUACAGAGUUUCAAUCUGGGAAGAUGAAAGAGUUCUGAGAUGAAGGGUGGUGAUGGUUGCAAACAGUGUAAAUGUGUUUGAUGCCACUGACCUGUACAGUUAAAAAUGGCUACAGUGAUAACUUCCGUGUUGUGCAAAUUUUCACAAUAAAAACUUAAUGAAAGGUAGCUAGAGACAGCAAGUGAGGGGAAGCGAGGAAGGGCGAGUUAUUGGUUGAAGGGUAGAGUUUUUGUUAGGGAUGACGGGCGAAGUUUUGGGUACAGACUGUGGUCAUGUUUCCACAACAUCGUGAAUGAGUUUAGUGCCACAGCAUUAAAUGUAUUCAUGGUGUACUUGUGUACUUAUGAAUGGCUAAGAUGAUAAAUAUUAUGUACAUUUUACCACAAUAAAAAAGUAAUGAAUUCUGGCCAGGUACAGUGGCUCACCCCUGUAAUCCCAGCACUUUGGGAGGCUAAGGCAGGCUGAUCACUUGAGGUCAGGAAUUCAAGACCAGCCCAGCCAACAUGGCAAAACCCCAUCUCUACUAAAAAUAUAGCCAGGCGUGGUGGCGCAUACCUGUAAUCUCUGCUAUUUGGGAGACUGAGGCAGGAGAAUCGCAUGAACCCGGGAGGUGCAGGUUGCAGUGAGCCAAGAUUGUACCACUGCACUCCAACCUGGGUUACAGCAUCUC
rnacentral:lncRNA from 10 species